UUGCUAUGAUGAAAAAUAAUAUUUCUUAUUGAUAACUAAAAUGAAAAUUGUUUUAUACGAGCUUUUUAACCCUGAGCAAU